rnacentral:rRNA from 1 species
AUUGAACGCUGGCGGCAGGCUUAACACAUGCAAGUCGAGCGGAGUGAUGGUGCUUGCACUAUCACUUAGCGGCGGACGGGUGAGUAAUGCUUAGGAAUCUGCCUAUUAGUGGGGGACAACAUCUCGAAAGGGAUGCUAAGACCGCAUACGUCCUACGGGAGAAAGCAGGGGAUCACUUGUGACCUUGCGCUAAUAGAUGAGCCUAAGUCGGAUUAGCUAGUUGGUGGGGUAAAGGCCUACCAAGGCGACGAUCUGUAGCGGGUCUGAGAGGAUGAUCCGCCCACUGGGACUGAGACACGGCCCAGACUCCUACGGGAGGCAGCAGUGGGGAAUAUUGGACAAUGGGGGGAACCCUGAUCCAGCCAUGCCGCGUGUGUGAAGAAGGCCUUAUGGUUGUAAAGCACUUUAAGCGAGGAGGAGGCUCUUUUGGUUAAUACCCAAGAUGAGUGGACGUUACUCGCAGAAUAAGCACCGGCUAACUCUGUGCCAGCAGCCGCGGUAA